CCUACGGGGGGCAGCAGUGGGGAAUUUUGGACAAUGGGGGCAACCCUGAUCCAGCCAUGCCGCGUGAGUGAAGAAGGCCUUCGGGUUGUAAAGCUCUUUCGGCCGGGAAGAAAUCGUGCGGGCUAAUACCCUGUAUGGAUGACGGUACCGGAAGAAGAAGCACCGGCUAACUACGUGCCAGCAGCCGCGGUAAUACGUAGGGUGCGAGCGUUAAUCGGAAUUGCGGGGCGGAUAGCGUGCGCCAGCGGUUAAAUCCCCGGGCUUAACCUGGGAACUGCGUUUGUAACUGCGAGACUUGAGUGCGGCAGAGGGGGGUGGAAUUCCACGUGUAGCAGUGAAAUGCGUAGAGAUGUGGAGGAACACCGAUGGCGAAGGCAGCCCCCUGGGUCGACACUGACGCUCAUGCACGAAAGCGUGGGGAGCAAACAGGAUUAGAUACCCCUGUAGUC
rnacentral:rRNA from 1 species